rnacentral:rRNA from 1 species
CCCGGAGGGAAACGGGUGGAUCCUCGAAGUCCGAGCGGAGCGGGAUUCAGUGGCGGGCGGCGGGGCGCCCCCUCCGGUCCGUGCCCGGUGGUCGGGACGUUCCGGGGGGGCGAUCCCCCCGUCAGCCGCGCACUUCUCGCUCCCGACGGACGCCGCAGCCGGUCUGGCGUCGGCAGUGAGGACUGGUCGGGCGAUGGCGCGGGCGGGGGUCCUGGCACCCCCGUCCCGAUUCUGUACCGACCGCGUUCCCGGUGCGACGCCGGUCCGAGGGAAGGGUCCGCUUCGGCGGACGCGCCGUGGUCUCGCGUCGAGAGGCGCGAGCGGGAGAGUGGUCCGGUCGCCGCCGGCCGAGUCGUUCACUCGAGAUCGUGUUCGACCGGCGAAGGUGCUCCGGCGGGCCGCGACUGUCCCGCCGCGCGGGAGCGACGGCUUGCGGCGAGUAGGUCGGUAACCCACCCGACCCGUCUUGAAACACGGACCAAGGAGUCUAACUUGUGCGCGAGUCAGUGGGACUCGAAAAAGCCCACGGGCGUAAUGAAGGUGACAUGGACGCUAGCGUCCGUCGCGAUCCCGCGUCCCCGACGGGGCCGGGCGCAGCGACGACCCGACGGGACGGCGGUUCUUCCGCCU